GUUAAUGUAGCUUAAUUUAAAAGCAAAGCACUGAAAAUGCUUAGAUGAGUAUAUACCAGUACUCCAUAAACA
rnacentral:tRNA from 1 species